UACGUAGGGGGCAAGCGUUGUCCGGAAUCAUUGGGCGUAAAGAGCGCGUAGGCGGCCCUGUAAGUCCGCUGUGAAAGUCAAGGGCUCAACCCUUGAAUGCCGGUGGAUACUGCAGGGCUAGAGUCCGGAAGAGGCGAGUGGAAUUCCUGGUGUAGCGGUGAAAUGCGCAGAUAUCAGGAGGAACACCGGUGGCGAAGGCGGCUCUCUGGGACGGUACUGACGGCUGAGACGCGAAAGCGUGGGGAGCAAACAGG
rnacentral:rRNA from 1 species